UACAGAGGUCUCAAGCGUUGUUCGGAUUCAUUGGGCGUAAAGGGUGUGUAGGUGGCGCGCUAAGUCGGGUGUGAAAUUUCGGAGCUUAACUCCGAACUGCAUUCGAUACUGGCGUGCUUGAGGACUGGAGAGGAGACUGGAAUUCAUGGUGUAGCAGUGAAAUGCGUAGAUAUCCGGAGGAACACCGGUGGCGAAGGCGGCUUACCUGGACCGACACUGACGCUGAGGCGCGAAAGCUAGGGGAGCAAACGGG
rnacentral:rRNA from 1 species